rnacentral:misc_RNA from 1 species
AGAAAAGAAACUCAAGCCUGUGGAGAAGCGGGUGACAACAAGCAGCCAAUAGUGCUCCCGUAUAGCUCGUACCGACCUCAUAGGCUACAAAGUUUGUUUGUUGCCAUUACACAGGAGUCAGCCCUACGACACCACAUGCCAAUCUUCCACCUGCGUUGCCAGUGGUUAAACUGAGUUCGUGACCUCCUUUUCCAAGAUCAUCCUCAAGCUCAUGUACCACCAAGGCUCUUCCAACUACAGAAUUGGGGCCGCUGAGAGGAAUCUGGGUAUCUACAAUGGUUGCCUCCGCUACUCCAUCAGCAUUGGCAAUU